rnacentral:rRNA from 1 species
CGGGACGGGUGGAGGUAAUGCCUAGGAAUCUGCCUGGUAGUGGGGGACAACGUUUCGAAAGGAACGCUAAUACCGCAUACGUCCUACGGGAGAAAGCAGGGGACCUUCGGGCCUUGCGCUAUCAGAUGAGCCUAGGUCGGAUUAGCUAGUUGGUGAGGUAAUGGCUCACCAAGGCGACGAUCCGUAACUGGUCUGAGAGGAUGAUCAGUCACACUGGAACUGAGACACGGUCCAGACUCCUACGGGAGGCAGCAGCA